UGGGGAAUAUUGGACAAUGGGCGAAAGCCUGAUCCAGCCAUGCCGCGUGUGUGAAGAAGGUCUUCGGAUUGUAAAGCACUUUAAGUUGGGAGGAAGGGUUGUAGAUUAAUACUCUGCAAUUUUGACGUUACCGACAGACUAAGCACCGGCUAACUCUGUGCCAGCAGCCGCUGUAAUACAGAGGGUGCAAGCGUUAAUCGGAAUUACUGGGCGGAAAGCGCGCGUAGGUGGUUUGUUAAGUUGGAUGUGAAAUCCCCGGGCUGAAUCUGGGAACUGCAUUCAAAACUGACUGACUAGAGUAUGGUAGAGGGUGGUGGAAUUUCCUGUGUAGCGGUGAAAUGCGUAGAUAUAGGACGGAACACCAGUGGCGAAGGCGACCACCUGGACUAAUGCUGACACUGAGGUGCGAAAGCGUGGGGAGCGAACAGG
rnacentral:rRNA from 1 species